CCUACGGGGGCAGCAGUGGGGAAUAUUGGACAAUGGGCGAAAGCCUGAUCCAGCCAUGCCGCGUGUGUGAAGAAGGCCUUCGGGUUGUAAAGCACUUUCAGUGGGGAAGAAAGCCUUGGGGCUAAUACCCUCGAGGAAGGACAUCACCCACAGAAGAAGCACCGGCUAACUCCGGGCCAGCAGCCGCGGUAAUACGGAGGGUGCGAGCGUUAAUCGGAAUUACUGGGCGUAAAGCGCGCGUAGGCGGUCUGAUAAGCCGGUUGUGAAAGCCCCGGGCUCAACCUGGGAACGGCAUCCGGAACUGUCAGGCUAGAGUGCAGGAGAGGAAGGUAGAAUUCCCGGUGUAGCGGUGAAAUGCGUAGAGAUCGGGAGGAAUACCAGUGGCGAAGGCGGCCGUCUGGACUGACACUGACGCUGAGGUGCGAAAGCGUGGGUAGCAAACAGGAUUAGAUACCCGUGUAGUC
rnacentral:rRNA from 1 species